rnacentral:rRNA from 1 species
AUACGGAGGUUGCAAGCGUUACUCGGAAUCACUGGGCGUAAAGCGCGCGCAGGCGGGCUGAUAAGUUGGAUGUGAAAGCCUACGGCUCAACCGUAGAACUGCAUCCAAAACUGUCAGUCUAGAGUGUGGGAGAGGAAGAUGGAAUUAGUUGUGUAGGGGUAAAAUCCGUAGAGAUAACUAGGAAUACCAAAAGCGAAGGCAAUCUUCUGGAACACUACUGACGCUGAGGCGCGAAGGCGUGGGGAGCAAACAGGAUUAGAAACCCCUGUAGUCC